UAUCUUAUCAAAACGAUGGACAAGAAAUUCAGUUACCUGUGAGAUGUGUGUUAACCACUUAAAGUGCUGCAGCUCAAAUUGUUGAAGAGAAUAGCUACUGUCAAAGAUGAUGGUACUGUGGAAUUUGAAAUCCCGGGUGAUGUUGAACCCACCGGAGUGCUUGGAACUGGAUCUGAAAGUGUACAUACUGCAGUUGAGGAUGAACCUCUUGAUGCAACAGAACUUCAAUAUUUUCCACCUAUGCAGAUUGUAAUGCUUAUUGUAGGAACACGUGGUGACGUGCAGCCCUUCACUGCAAUUGGCAAGCGUUUGCAGGUACUUCGAUAUCAUUCGCCAAACAGAUUGUAAAUGUACAAGCUAAGGCUGUCCCUAGGUUGUUGAUGCGUAUAUAGGUGCUCUUUGCAUCUCAAUUUGGUGAGAACGGAUUAGCAGAUCUUUCUGAUAGGUGUGUGUGUUUAUUUAUAUAUUAAGUNGGAAUAGAUAGCCAAUUUGACUCGAAAUCAGAUUUCCUGAAGAGAUCACUUAGAGGGGUAAAUAGAAAAAGAGGUGGAGAAUCCGAAUUGUACCUGACAUUCCUUGGACUACAGGAGAACGUUGACUAAGAUUUCAGGACAUAGCAAAAACUAUGUUGCAAGAAGACACAGUCAUUUGCUAAUGUUUGUCUCUUGUCAUAGCGUUCUAUUAUGAGUUAAUUGUUUGGGUUUUCUCAAGUAAUAAGUCCUGUUAGUGGAGCUCUCAAAUGAACAGGAAACAACCUUGGUUAAUAGGAGUUCUAUUACCCUUUUUCAACCUCUUCACUUCAAUUCAAGGUCAAACUCACCACCUGUGUGUGAUAAUUUGAAGUGUGGUGAGCACUCACCAAUAAAAAAGUUAGUGUGUACACUAAAUAAAGAAUCAAGCAAUUCUAUGCCAAAGAUCACUUUCCUUAAUAGCAUGUUUUUUGGUCAGCCAGGAUAAAUCAUGAUUGAUAGAAAAUUAAAUACAUAGUGGUUGUUGCGGAGUGGAUUAAAGUGUGCAGUCAAAAUCUAUUGCUCCAUGUACAUGAUAGUUCUUCAUAGACAUCUAAGCAUAUAUUACCAAUGGAAUAUCUUCAUUAUUAUCUAUCUUUAUGUUUAUGGCCUCAUUAUAUUAUUUGGUUUGUCUAUCCUCUGUUGUUUGUGAUAAAUUUACUUGAUUUUAUAAUACCUUUUUGGUGUUUAUCUUAUCAAAACGAUGGACAAGAAAUUCAGUUACCUGUGAGAUGUGUGUUAACCACUUAAAGUGCUGCAGCUCAAAUUGUUGAAGAGAAUAGCUACUGUCAAAGAUGAUGGUACUGUGGAAUUUGAAAUCCCGGGUGAUGUUGAACCCACCGGAGUGCUUGGAACUGGAUCUGAAAGUGUACAUACUGCAGUUGAGGAUGAACCUCUUGAUGCAACAGAACUUCAAUAUUUUCCACCUAUGCAGAUUGUAAUGCUUAUUGUAGGAACACGUGGUGACGUGCAGCCCUUCACUGCAAUUGGCAAGCGUUUGCAGG
rnacentral:lncRNA from 1 species